rnacentral:rRNA from 1 species
AUGGCAAUUGGACAGACCAUGCCGAAGGGGUCUCUCGCCACGAGCUUGAGCUUCCCAAGCAGCGGCAGCACAAGGAUUCUGGGGAGGAAGAGGGUCGCUGUUUCUCCGGCUCCAAGCCCCUCAGGCCCGCACUCCCCGGUUCGGACUCUGCGCAAGCAGCGCAGCAUUAGGUUCCACAUGGACGACACCAUCUGCCUCCUUGAAUCGCUGCCUCAAGAUGUAUUGGUCAAAGUCCUGUGCAAGGUGAACCACAGCGACCUGAGGCAGCUCCUCCUGGUGUCGAAGCCAGUCAGCGAAGCAACAGUGGUUGCUAAGGAGCUGCAUUUCGCCUUCGCGACGCCCUCGAAGGCCUCCGCGGAUGCGGAGGAAGAAGACGAUGGCCCCGGGGCGCCCAAGCAACACAGGGUUGCACGGUCGCGCUGCCGGGGCAUGAAUUUGGCAAGCGUCGCCGUCAAUCUGUCGGAGUCGUUCAGCAGCUUGAUGUCAGAGGUGUAG